rnacentral:lncRNA from 1 species
UUUUAAGCAAAGAUCAAUACAAAAACAUUCCAGUUUGACUGAAAGGGGCGGCAGUUUCCGUUUAGGUAAAAUGGAUAGAAUAAUAGUACUUACCUCAAAGGAUUGUUGAAGAGAAUCAACAAGAUGAUAUCCCUGAAGCACUGGGAAUAGUGUCUGGCACACAGCACUCUCCCAGGAGCACACCGCGGCGCUAGAGAAGACCAGGAAAAAGGACCUGAGCCAGCUUGCCGUCUUAACAAAAAUUUCAAACUUUGCAAAGCGGUAUACCUUCUUAUUCUCCAGUUCAGUAUUGCCAGUGAAGUCAUACUGAACGCAGACAAGGAAAAGAAAGAAAAAGAAACUCAAUGAGAUAUGUUGUCAUCUUCCCUGUUUUAUGGAUGAAGUUCUAAGUAGAGGUUCGGAGAAGAUGUUCAGCCUCAGAACGUAGCCACCUUGCUGUGAGAAAGCCCAACCAUCUUGUACAGCGAGACCACAUGGAGAGGCGCAUGUGGAAAGGAACGGAGGCUACAAGCCGAUAGCCAGCAUCGACUGCCAGGCACGGAGAGUGAGUCUUCAGAUGAAUCCAGCCUCAGCCUAGAGUCUUUUGUCUCAGGCCCCAGACACUGUGGAGCAGGGACAAGCCAUCCCCACUGUGUCCCACCCGCAUUCCUGAUCCACAGAAUCUAUGAGCACAAUAAAUAGUUGCUUUAUGGCAGAG